rnacentral:rRNA from 1 species
AUGAAGGGCGUUCACUCGACACUCGACACUGGAACGACAAAAGUAACAGAAGCCCAGUUGAGGUCUCCAGACUGCUCAAUCACUGGUUCCGUCGCCGGCGUCGAUUGGGACGUCUUGCUAGCUGGUGCCUUCAUGCUUGAAGUCCUGCCCCUCCUUCCCAUGGGUCUCUGUGGCACAUCUUCGUCGUCAUCUGGAAGUUCAAUAACAUUGGGUGGAGUUGCAAAGCAAUUAAUUGCAACAGUUCAGUCGACCGAAAAAGUGGCUAAUAAAGUAAAGACAAGAUGUCAAGAAUUAUACCCGCGUUUGAAGUGA